UGGGGAAUUUUGGACAAUGGGCGAAAGCCUGAUCCAGCCAUGCCGCGUGAGUGAAGAAGGCCUUCGGGUUGUAAAGCUCUUUUGUCCGGGAGGAAAUCCCGUAACCUAAUACGUUGCGGGGAUGACAGUACUGGAAGAAUAAGCACCGGCUAACUACGUGCCAGCAGCCGCGGUAAUACGUAGGGUGCAAGCGUUAAUCGGAAUUACUGGGCGUAAAGCGUGCGCAGGCGGUUUGAUAAGUCAGAUGUGAAAUCCCCGGGCUUAACCUGGGAACUGCGUUUGAAACUGUCAGGCUAGAGUACGUCAGAGGGGGGUGGAAUUCCACGUGUAGCAGUGAAAUGCGUAGAGAUGUGGAGGAACACCGAUGGCGAAGGCAGCCCCCUGGGAUGAUACUGACGCUCAUGCACGAAAGCGUGGGGAGCAAACA
rnacentral:rRNA from 1 species